rnacentral:rRNA from 1 species
AGUAAUGUAUGGGGAUCUGCCCGAUAGAGGGGGAUAACUACUAGAAACGGUGGCUAAUACCGCAUAAUGUCUACGGACCAAAGCAGGGGCUCUUCGGACCUUGCACUAUCGGAUGAACCCGUAUGGGAUUAGCUAGUAGGUGGGGUAAAGGCUCACCUAGGCGACGAUCUCUAGCUGGUCUGAGAGGAUGAUCAGCCACACUGGGACUGAGACACGGCCCAG